CAGCGCCACGAGUGGCAACCAUGAUUAUUGGGCCUAAAGCGUUCGUAGCCGGUUUAGUAAAUUUUCUGUGAAAUCGUUUCGCUCAACGUAACGACGUGCAGAAAACACUGCUAGACUUGAGACCGGGAGGAGCAAGGAGUAUUCUUGGGGGAGCGGUAAAAUGUUAUAAUCCCUUGAAGACUACCUGUGGCGAAGGCGCCUUGCUAGAACGGAUCUGACGGUGAGGGACGAAAGCUAGGGGAGCAAACCGGAUUAGAUACCCGAGUAGUCC
rnacentral:rRNA from 1 species